GCGGAGGAAAAGAAACCAACAGGGAUUGCCUCAGUAACGGCGAGUGAAGCGGCAACAGCUCAAAUUUGAAAUCUGGGGCCUUCGGCUCCCGAGUUGUAAUUUGUAGAGGAUGCCUCGGGGGGUGCUUCGGCCCAAGUUCCUUGGAACAGGAUACCACAGAGGGUGAGAGUCCCGUAUCCGGCCGGCAGUGCCCUCCGCGCGAGGCUCCUUCGACGAGUCGAGUUGUUUGGGAAUGCAGCUCUAAGCGGGUGGUAAAUUCCAUCUAAAGCUAAAUACUGGCCAGAGACCGAUAGCGAACAAGUAGAGUGAUCGAAAGAUGAAAAGCACUUUGAAAAGAGAGUCAAACAGUACGUGAAAUUGUUGAAAGGGAAGCGUAUGGGGGCAGACUUGGCCGCGGGGUUCAGGGUGUCUUUUGGCGCCUGUACUUCCCCGUGGGCAGGCCAGCAUCGGUUUUGGGGGUUGGAUAAAGGCGUCGGGAAUGUGGCUCCCCUCGGGGAGUGUUAUAGCCCGUCGCGCAAUGCAGCCACCCGGGAUCGAGGACCGCGCUUCGGCAAGGAUGCUGGCGUAAUGGCCUCAUACGGCCCGUCUUGAAACACGGACCAAGGAGUCUAACAUCUAUGCGAGUGUUUGGGUGUCAAGCCCGAGCGCGCAAUGAAAGUGAACGGAGGUGGGAGCCCGUAAAAAGGCGCACCAUCGACCGAUCCUGACGUCUUCUGAGGGAUUUGAGUAAGAGCAUAGCUGUUGGGACCCGAAAGAUGGUGAACUAUGCGUGAAUAGGGUGAAGCCAGAGGAAACUCUGGUGGAGGCUCGCAGCGGUUCUGACGUGCAAAUCGAUCGUCAAAUUUGCGUAUAGGGGCG
rnacentral:rRNA from 1 species